GGGGCCGAGGGGGAGUAUAAGGGACGGCGAACACUUGAAAAGCCCAGGAGCGAGUGGCAACGUCUGGACAGAAAUCAACAGCCACGCAAAGAGGACGGUACACUGUAGCACUCAGAAGAAGAGGAGAGAUGAGGACUGAGAGGUGUGGGGAGAGCUUUCAUUUGGUGGUAGUUGAGGGGGCUUUUGAUAGCACUGUUUUAUUGUUAAUGGAAUAGUCAUUUGAUAAUAUUUGAGGCUUUAGUAUUUUUUACAAUUACAUUUUUAAAGAUUUUUUAUUAUUAUUAUUAUUAUUAUUAUUGUUAUUAUUAUAUGCAGCUCUGGAGACCACUAAUUAUGUUUUUUUUAAUUUGCCGUUUAUAGGAACAUGUUUUAGUAGAAUGCUUAUUUGUUUUUUAUUUAUUUCUACUGACAGCAUGUCUUCAGCAUUAGAAUUUUGUAUAUAAAUAUGAUCAUUUUGAGCACCUAUUUGUAGAAAGUGACAAUUGGUCAAUAUAAAAUGUCAAAUAUUGGGGAAAAAAUGUAUAUAUGUUAAAUAAAUUUAUGCAAUUUUUCUUUUUUGUUGCAAUAUUUAAGGUCUAAAAACAUGGAAUAUGUAGUAUUGACUGUUAUUUUACAGAUACAUUGUCUAAAUUAUAAUAUUCUUACUUUGAAGACACUUAAUAAAAAGUUUCUAAGAUAAAAUGUUAAUGAACAAUAACUAUUUCAUACUAAUGGCAAAUCUAGAAAACCAAAAAUAAUUUAUUAAUAAGUUUUUUUCCAGAGCUGUAUAUAUAAAUUAAAUAAAUAAUACAUUUUAAAAUAUUUAAUGUAGUAGUUUUAAUCUAUUUUACAAAAAUAUAUUUUAAGUAUUUUCUCACUCUUUAAUUGUCAAUGCUAAUUGUUUUUUAUGAUUUCAGAAUAAAUGCUGCAACAGCCUGCAUUUUAUUAGAACUAAAGUUUUUUUAUUUUUGCCAUGUUUUUUCUUUAACAAUACGUAGUUCAUCUUUAUACAUUAUCUAUACCUCAAAUUCGGGUUUUCUUUUGUUCCUGAGAUGCUGGGUGACAUCUCUAUUUUUUACGAGGCAGCAAAUGGAAGAUUUUACACUUCUGCCUCUGGAAAUGGUGUUGUUAAAGGAAAUGGAGGUCUAGCGCGUUACUAUGUUUUCACCUGAGGUGUUGUUACUCGACUUUGAUCUACUGUAUAUCAAGCUCCUACAUCAAGAAAGAGUCUAAAAGGGGCAGUUUAGCCACAUGUCAUAAUAGAAAACCAGGUCUAUUUAAAUGCAAGAUAGAUGUCAGAGUGCUACAUGUGCUAGUCCUCUUCUGCUUGACUGGCCUUCCUCCAUGUACUUUUCUGUCUACGGACACACAAAAAACAAGUGAAGGAAGAGACAACUGCACACAGGUAAGCCAGGAGAACAGUUUCCUGAAGAUUGUCAACAUAAGCUCUGUUAGACUUCCUCCGUCUCUUUCUGAAGCAGCACGCCUUGCUGUGGCUGGUCAAAUGGAACCAAGUCAGGUGUUUCUGCGAGGUUUGGUCCCCUUCAACCAGCUACUGCGUCGUGAAUACAGCCUACAUAUAGAUUUUAAGAGAGUAUAUGUCUGCUUAAAAUGUACUAACACUUACUUUGAAAAAUAAAAUACCACUCAAUAAACUA